UACGUAGGGGGCGAGCGUUGUCCGGAAUUACUGGGCGUAAAGGGCGUGUAGGCGGCCUGUUAAGUCAGGCGUGAAAACCCCGGGCUUAACCUGGGGAUUGCGUUUGAAACUGGCGGGCUUGAGGGCAGGAGAGGAAAGUGGAAUUCCCGGUGUAGCGGUGAUAUGCGUAGAUACCGGGAGGAACACCAGUGGCGAAGGCGGCUUUCUGGACUGCACCUGACGCUGAGGCGCGAAAGCCAGGGGAGCGAACGGGAUUAGAUACC
rnacentral:rRNA from 1 species